CAUGAUGAAAAACCAUUUUGUAGAAUAUAUCAAUGGGUAGAUCUCCGUUUGGAUCUGCGUACUUCAGAGUUGUCAUCGGAGUAUACAAGGUGUUGGUCUGAUGGCGAAAAGACUUUUCACAGCUGGCUGCAAAAUGCCAGUUUGGAUGCAGCUUUGUGGCUGGAAUCACGUGACAGCAGCUGUCUCUUCUCCCACGGCACAAGGGCUAAAUACACUGGAUGUUUAACAAUUGUUGGACUUCACACAAAAAGUAGCGGCAGAGUUUCCUCCUAUGGCAACGUAUAGGUGACAAAUCAGACACCAAAAUCCCAUAGGUCAUGGGGCCUCUUAAAUACUGUCUUAAGCAAUAAGAAAAUAGUAGACUGCAACACAGCAUUUUUCCUUGCUUUCUUUCUACUUUUGGUCCCUGUAGGCAUCUUGCUCUCUGUGCCAUUCUGAUGAAUUUCCACUGCAUUCUCUCUGUUAUGAUGCCCUUGAACUUUUUAUCUUUGAAUUGUCUAAAAAAUAAAGACCAUUAUCUAUCAUUAGACCAUAUAUAUUAUACUUUACAAUGGAAAGUAUUACAGGUCAGUAUUAUAGUUUUAUUCAUAUUGUAUUGUAUGCGAGAUUCUGUGUUUUUAAAAGUACAUGACCGAUAUUUUGUUCAAAGCUAAACAGCCUUAAACUAUUCAACAUGCUUCUUCAGCAUCUAAACUUUAACAGUUUAUUUUGUGUGAAGGAUGUGAACAUUUCUGUGCCUUUUGUGAUGUAAAGUUUCCAUGGGUUCCUCUGUUUCUCCUAGAUAGUAGCAAGCUUUAAACAUUUGUUUGCUAGCUGUGAAUAUAUUUUAAAACUGUAAAAUAUAGUUUACAUCUGGGGAUCAAUACUUACUGCAGUUUAAACUUCAGUGCUUGUAUAGCUAAACUUUCGCAGAAUCCUUCCACAGCAAACUUAGAGGCAGCAUAAACAUCAUUAAAUAAGAUACCUGAUGGUACAAACAAAACAUCCUGAGAAUGUGAUUGUAUGCAACAUACUAAUAUUUUAGUUACUAGUUAUACUAAUAUUUUAGUUUAAGAACCUCUUGUAUUUUCCCCAAAUUUCUACAGUCUUGCUGGGAAAACAUAAAAAAACCCUUCUUUAUGUCAAUCUAAUGAGCCAGUUCUGGCAGUAAUAAAUAUUGCUAAUUUUUGUCACUUGAACUCAAAAUUACUUAUUCUAGAAAUGGGUGCUUGACUAAGGCUUUUCCUACUCCUAGCUGAUGCUGUCAUCUCUUUAGAUGAUAUUAAAUAUUUUGUAGUCUAAGCUAUGAAAGUGUCUAUACAUACAAUACCAUCUGCAUUCUUCAUCAGCAAGACUUUAACAGGCUGUAGAGAAACACAGAAGCUGAGUGCAACGCUGGAAAUAAGAUUAUGCGAGAGAUCCAGCUUGCAUCUGAAGGACUUUGAAAAAGCAGUACAUCAAUCCACUUGGAUGGAUGGUAAAAUCUCCUUCAGGAGCCGAACCAGUCCAAAGAAGUUGGUAUCCAUCACAGUUUUCAUUUCAUCUAUGGUCUGACAUUCAAUAGGUCCAAUGAGUCCCAUUCCAGCAUUGCUAACUGCACAAAAUGGAAGACACAACAGUGAGCAAUAACCUCCAUGAACAUUAACUUGUGAUUUUUACUGGAAAGCAUUUGAGAGUAAAAUGAGAGAGAAAA